GAGGGCUCCACACUACUCAGCGCGUCAGGAAACGUGCAGGGAAAAGUUGAUACGGAAGCAUCCAUGGAAAUAGCACCUCUACAUGUAUGUUGCAUUUAACUAAUUUAGAUUUUAAUUUAAAGACAAUGAGAUAAAUACUGCUGGAAGCAAAAUUAGAAUAUAUUCACUCUUCAUUACACAUGGAAAACCUGAGAAACAGUAAUUAAUCUUUGUUACUCUGGCCCUUUAAUAUAUCUCAGAGCUUGUUCUAUAGCAGAAAGGCAUUCUUAUCGGGGCCCUGGCAGUCAACAGUUUCUUUAAACGGCUUAUUCUGCUAUCUAGGCUCUUCACUGCCCUUUUCUAAGAAAAAAUUCACCAUCAUCCUCUCAACCUCCUCUUCCCAUCUCAGCUGAUUUCCAAAGACAUUCACAAAACCUUCAUUACUUAGCACAGGACUCUACCAUCUUGAUGCAGUAAAUAUCCAUUUAACAAUCUCCUAUGAAACUAAAGAACUAAUCACAAAAUUAUUUCUAAAUGUCUUUAGAGCAGUGAAGUAAUCUUUUUUGGGAGACAGCUGAGUAAUAACUUUUAUUUGAAGUGAAGUGGCUUUUUUGAUGUUUCUGCUUAGGGUACCCUUGACUCUGAGCACUUCCUUUGUUUGUCUUGUAUAAUGAAUUCAAGACAGCCUGUAUUUCUGUUAUAAUUUAUAUCACCCAAAUUGUGGUUUCAUGCAUUUAUCUUUGCCAGUUGGAAUAUUUAAUCUAUAUGUUCCAAACCUCACUGUUUUUCCUCUGUAUAAGAUAACAUUUUUGUACUUCUUACACAGUCCCUCUUUGGUGGUGAUACUGAAACCUUUGGUAUAGCUAAAACCCAUAAGUCUAUUUGCUCCAGAUUAGCUUUUCUUCCCUCAGGUAUCCCAGCUGGCCUUUAUACAGAAUAGAGUCAAAGAAAAAAAUCAACAAGGAGGUGAUUUGCACUUGAAAACCACAAGGAACUACAGCGUUAGCAAAAUACUAUGGAUAAAAAUUUUCAAGAAGAAGAGUUUACAGGAGUUAUUAAAUUUACACCACCUUUGUACAAACAACGCUACCAGUUCAUUAAAGAUUUAGUGGGGAAAUACAAACCUAAGAAGGUGGCAGAUUUAGGAUGUGCUGACUGCACGCUUCUCUGGAUGCUGAAAUUCUGCAGUUGCAUUGAAGUGUUAGCUGGCCUUGAUAUCUGUGCAAGCGUAAUGAAAGAGAAAAUGCAUAGAUUGUCUCCUCUUCCUGUUGAUUAUUUGCAACCGGCUGAAAGAUCCCUAACUGUUACGUUACAUCAUGGUUCAGUUGCCCAUAAAGAUCCUUGCAUGCUUGGUUUUGACUUGGUAACCUGUAUUGAACUAAUUGAGCACCUGGAAGAAUUGGAACUAAACAAGUUUCCUGAAGUGGUGUUUGGUUUCAUGGCUCCAAGCAUGGUUGUGAUCAGUACUCCAAAUUCUGAAUUUAACCCUUUACUUCCGGGAGUGAAAUUAUUCAGGCAUCCGGACCACAAAUUUGAAUGGAACAGAGUGCAAUUUCAAAGCUGGGCUUUAGAGAUUGCUAGACGCUAUGAUUACUCAGUGGAAUUUACUGGUGUAGGGCACCCACCAACAGGAAUGGAGAAUGUUGGGUUUUGUACCCAAAUAGGUGUGUUUGGUAGAAAAUAUCCUCGACCUAGUGAAUCUGCCCAGCCUGAGAAACCCACUGAAGCAGUUUAUAAAACGGUCUUCAAAGCCGUGUAUCCAAGUCUUAAAGAUGAGAAGUACCUGCAGAAUGCAGUGGUUGGUGAAGUUAUUUUCACAGCUCAAAUCAUCAAGCGAAGUCUGCUGGACCGUUUAAUCUCAGAACGUGAGGAGUAUAGUGAUGAUACUACUGAGAGAAAAUCCAAAUUCCAACCUUCAGUGAACUGUUUUUCAGAAGAUCUUGGAAAACUGGUUGUUGACAAAAGCUUGGAGCCAUUUGUCAGUGGAAAUACGGUUUAUAUACCUCUUAGAACAAUCUUUUCUUUUCCCAAAGUGAAUCAACUUUGUGGUACCUUUGAGAAGUUAUGCAAGCUUAUUGUUGGCAAGGUCACACUGAGCAGUGAUGGUUCUGCUGCAAUGUUCAAUAUUGAACAUGAAAAUGAAGAGAAUUAGAUCACAGAUUUCUCAUACAAAGUUCAGUUAAAGUAAUAAAAGUAUUUUUUUUUAGUAGCUGUCACAUGGUGUGUUCUGUAUGCUAACUAGAACCACAAUUUUUUUUCUAAACCUUCCAGUAUUUAUCAAUCAGCAUCUCUCCUGUUGAGGGAACAUGAGUGCUUUUGACAAGCACCAAAUAAACUUGUAGGGCUUUGAAAUAUAGUAUUGGGGGCUAAAAGGAAAGAAUAAAUUCCUGUGAAGAAAAAUUUUAAGUAUUUCUGUUUGUUUUCUAUUACCAUAUUGUAGGUAUCAUGACUACAUUCUUUUUGGUAAUCUUUUGUUAGCUCCAGGGAUAGUUGAUGAUAACACAGGACUAUGCUGUUGUCCUGAAUAAUGAGUCAGACGUAGGUUUAGGUCAAGUUCUUUCCGAACAGAAUAUAGAUGCCUUUUUCAAGAUGAGUACAUACUCAGCUGUUGUGAAAACCAAAUACUGUUCCAAACAAAUUGGAAUAUGCCACAAACAUUUAUAGCUCAGUAAAUUCAAUAGUGGGGAAGAGUGCCAUGAUGUUUGAUAUAAGGUGGGGAAAAAAAGGUUGAUCUGGCCCUAUUGUUUUAUCCAGUUUCUCGGUAACUGCUGCUUGGGAAAUAACUUGCAUCCUGUAACUUUUCCAGAAGCUGAAUUUAAUUAAUUUGAAACUGGUAUCUGUGUUUUGUUUUUGAAUAAAUAAAAAAAAUCUGUCAUGAAUGCUAACCAGUUCCCAGUGUACCUGUAAAAAAAAUUCUUUGUUUUCACAUGCAGCUGUUGUCCAAAAAGUCUUGACAACAUAUUCAGCAGAAAUGAAAAGCAUAGGUGUUCGAGAUAGUAGAGCUUAUGGCUUGGCCAAGAUGACUUUUUCUUAAGUAGGGCUGAAUUGUAUGUGUAAAUGCACUGUAAACAAAUGUUAGAUGAUGGGCUUAUGAAGACAGGAAUUUUUAAGGAUGCACAAGAUUGGCUUAUUCAUACAAGAUUAAUGAAGCAAUACACUGCAGUACUUUUCAAGUUUAUUUGCAUACCCAAAUUUUUAAAAUAAUUUUAGUAUCUCAACUGAAUAUUUCUUAUGAAUAAUAAGAUGGUUAAUUAAAAGGCCUAUUCAUGUUUAACAAUGCUAUUGGCAGCUUUCAAUGAACUAGUAUUAUCAGAACUGACUUCAUGUUUGUCAAAUAUGAAAGUUUCACAACUUUCUGAAAAUAAAAAAUUCUGUGUAAGGGCUGACUGUUUCUUAAAUGUGACUGCAUUCUACCUUCUGAAUUUUUUAAAAUCACUUGAAGUGAUUAAGGUGAAAGAUCAGACAUAAAAGGAAAAGUCAGCUGUAAUUCUCUGGAUUGAGAAAUGGUACAGAAUCUGGAACAGGUCAAAUUCCAGGGAAAGAAGAACGAGCAGCAGCGCUCUGUCAUAGUGAAUAGUUAAGAAAAUGCUUAAUAAGCCUUGUCUUCUGUGGGAAAUUUUUCUCCUACAGUAAAUGGGCAUGGAGUAUUAAAGACUAAUGUAACAAUAUUUAUACUUAAUUUUAAGAAUUAAUUCAAAUUUAUCUUUAAUAUGAUAUGUAGAGUGGUUUCACUUGUUUUGACAUGAUGUGAACUUGCCAUAGUUGGUAUGUUAAAAAAAUGCAUAAAAUUGAGAAUUGGUAAAUAUUCUUUGGACAUUAAUAAGCAUAGCUGUUUGAGCGUAGCAUUGGUUUGUUAUGAGAAAAUAUCUUUGAAGUUCACUGUAUGGUUCACAAUAGUUUAGAAGAUUUUUGGACCAGCGAACUUCUUCCAGUGCUGUUUCUUCUCAAAACAUUGUGUCUUUAGUGUACUUUAUAGCAUGAUUGUUUUAAAAUAAGGAAAAGGGAAGAGACUGAAAACCUGCCAGAUUUUGAAUGAUAUUUGCCUUGAAUUUUGUAUUCAGGUAACAUCUAAUUACAGGAAUGUCUUGUGAAUAGGCAAGACUGUAUACAAAUGCAUACUUGUUUUUCCUCAAAGCAUUAUACCCUAAGGCUUUGUUGCUACAUUUGGAAAACUGUUUAUGUGAAUAUUUGGUGGACUGAUGUCAAGGGACCUAAACAGUAAUCCAAUUUUUAAGGGGUACAUGGAUUCUUUUCCCCUGCUUUGUAACAGGCUUUAGUUUUUAAUGAUAGCUAGAACAAAUAUCAAUUCUUACAUUGUUGCUUAUGCCUUUCCUGGGGAAAAUCUGAAAGUCAAACUGCAGAUUUUUGGUCCUAGGUGUUCAUAGUGUUUCUUAGUAUGUGUACUGAAACUGAAGAAGCUAUUAUCAUAGACAGAAGUACUACUUAGAAUAUAUAGAUUUUAAUCGAGACUGUUAGCUUUUACUAAAACAAGUUAUGCUGUUUCAUCUGUCAGCUUUCUAGGUUUCCACUGGCUUAUAUCAAUUUUAAUUAAGAUUUUCUUUAAAGUACUGAAGUAACUGUCUUUUCAGGAGCAGCUAAACCCUUUCAUGGGAUUCACUGUGCAUAGUUCUUCAUUAUGAGAUCCUGCUGUGAGGCCAUACAGGGAACUCAAUCCACUGAUCUGCCACAGAAACGUGCAGUGGUGUAACAAAGAGGAGAGCAGGCAAGAAUGAGCAGUUAGGUGGGGAGAAGGCAAAACUUACUUUGCCUCAGGAAUGAU